UUAAGCGACUAAGCGUACACGGUGGAUGCCCUGGCAGUCAGAGGCGAUGAAGGACGUGCUAAUCUGCGAUAAGCGUCGGUAAGGUGAUAUGAACCGUUAUAACCGGCGAUUUCCGAAUGGGGAAACCCAGUGUGUUUCGACACACUAUCAUUAACUGAAUCCAUAGGUUAAUGAGGCGAACCGGGGGAACUGAAACAUCUAAGUACCCCGAGGAAAAGAAAUCAACCGAGAUUCCCCCAGUAGCGGCGAGCGAACGGGGAGCAGCCCAGAGCCUGAAUCAGUAUGUGUGUUAGUGGAAGCGUCUGGAAAGGCGCGCGAUACAGGGUGACAGCCCCGUACACAAAAAUGCACAUGCUGUGAGCUCGAUGAGUAGGGCGGGACACGUGGUAUCCUGUCUGAAUAUGGGGGGACCAUCCUCCAAGGCUAAAUACUCCUGACUGACCGAUAGUGAACCAGUACCGUGAGGGAAAGGCGAAAAGAACCCCGGCGAGGGGAGUGAAAAAGAACCUGAAACCGUGUACGUACAAGCAGUGGGAGCACGCUUAGGCGUGUGACUGCGUACCUUUUGUAUAAUGGGUCAGCGACUUAUAUUCUGUAGCAAGGUUAACCGAAUAGGGGAGCCGAAGGGAAACCGAGUCUUAACUGGGCGUUAAGUUGCAGGGUAUAGACCCGAAACCCGGUGAUCUAGCCAUGGGCAGGUUGAAGGUUGGGUAACACUAACUGGAGGACCGAACCGACUAAUGUUGAAAAAUUAGCGGAUGACUUGUGGCUGGGGGUGAAAGGCCAAUCAAACCGGGAGAUAGCUGGUUCUCCCCGAAAGCUAUUUAGGUAGCGCCUCGUGAAUUCAUCUCCGGGGGUAGAGCACUGUUUCGGCAAGGGGGUCAUCCCGACUUACCAACCCGAUGCAAACUGCGAAUACCGGAGAAUGUUAUCACGGGAGACACACGGCGGGUGCUAACGUCCGUCGUGAAGAGGGAAACAACCCAGACCGCCAGCUAAGGUCCCAAAGUCAUGGUUAAGUGGGAAACGAUGUGGGAAGGCCCAGACAGCCAGGAUGUUGGCUUAGAAGCAGCCAUCAUUUAAAGAAAGCGUAAUAGCUCACUGGUCGAGUCGGCCUGCGCGGAAGAUGUAACGGGGCUAAACCAUGCACCGAAGCUGCGGCAGCGACACUAUGUGUUGUUGGGUAGGGGAGCGUUCUGUAAGCCUGUGAAGGUGUGCUGUGAGGCAUGCUGGAGGUAUCAGAAGUGCGAAUGCUGACAUAAGUAACGAUAAAGCGGGUGAAAAGCCCGCUCGCCGGAAGACCAAGGGUUCCUGUCCAACGUUAAUCGGGGCAGGGUGAGUCGACCCCUAAGGCGAGGCCGAAAGGCGUAGUCGAUGGGAAACAGGUUAAUAUUCCUGUACUUGGUGUUACUGCGAAGGGGGGACGGAGAAGGCUAUGUUGGCCGGGCGACGGUUGUCCCGGUUUAAGCGUGUAGGCUGGUUUUCCAGGCAAAUCCGGAAAAUCAAGGCUGAGGCGUGAUGACGAGGCACUACGGUGCUGAAGCAACAAAUGCCCUGCUUCCAGGAAAAGCCUCUAAGCAUCAGGUAACAUCAAAUCGUACCCCAAACCGACACAGGUGGUCAGGUAGAGAAUACCAAGGCGCUUGAGAGAACUCGGGUGAAGGAACUAGGCAAAAUGGUGCCGUAACUUCGGGAGAAGGCACGCUGAUAUGUAGGUGAAGUCCCUCGCGGAUGGAGCUGAAAUCAGUCGAAGAUACCAGCUGGCUGCAACUGUUUAUUAAAAACACAGCACUGUGCAAACACGAAAGUGGACGUAUACGGUGUGACGCCUGCCCGGUGCCGGAAGGUUAAUUGAUGGGGUUAGCCGCAAGGCGAAGCUCUUGAUCGAAGCCCCGGUAAACGGCGGCCGUAACUAUAACGGUCCUAAGGUAGCGAAAUUCCUUGUCGGGUAAGUUCCGACCUGCACGAAUGGCGUAAUGAUGGCCAGGCUGUCUCCACCCGAGACUCAGUGAAAUUGAACUCGCUGUGAAGAUGCAGUGUACCCGCGGCAAGACGGAAAGACCCCGUGAACCUUUACUAUAGCUUGACACUGAACAUUGAGCCUUGAUGUGUAGGAUAGGUGGGAGGCUUUGAAGUGUGGACGCCAGUCUGCAUGGAGCCGACCUUGAAAUACCACCCUUUAAUGUUUGAUGUUCUAACGUUGACCCGUAAUCCGGGUUGCGGACAGUGUCUGGUGGGUAGUUUGACUGGGGCGGUCUCCUCCUAAAGAGUAACGGAGGAGCACGAAGGUUGGCUAAUCCUGGUCGGACAUCAGGAGGUUAGUGCAAUGGCAUAAGCCAGCUUGACUGCGAGCGUGACGGCGCGAGCAGGUGCGAAAGCAGGUCAUAGUGAUCCGGUGGUUCUGAAUGGAAGGGCCAUCGCUCAACGGAUAAAAGGUACUCCGGGGAUAACAGGCUGAUACCGCCCAAGAGUUCAUAUCGACGGCGGUGUUUGGCACCUCGAUGUCGGCUCAUCACAUCCUGGGGCUGAAGUAGGUCCCAAGGGUAUGGCUGUUCGCCAUUUAAAGUGGUACGCGAGCUGGGUUUAGAACGUCGUGAGACAGUUCGGUCCCUAUCUGCCGUGGGCGCUGGAGAACUGAGGGGGGCUGCUCCUAGUACGAGAGGACCGGAGUGGACGCAUCACUGGUGUUCGGGUUGUCAUGCCAAUGGCACUGCCCGGUAGCUAAAUGCGGAAGAGAUAAGUGCUGAAAGCAUCUAAGCACGAAACUUGCCCCGAGAUGAGUUCUCCCUGACUCCUUGAGAGUCCUGAAGGAACGUUGAAGACGACGACGUUGAUAGGCCGGGUGUGUAAGCGCAGCGAUGCGUUGAGCUAACCGGUACUAAUGAACCGUGAGGCUUAACCUU
rnacentral:rRNA from 1 species